UGGGGAAUAUUGGGCAAUGGGCGAAAGCCUGACCCAGCAACGCCGCGUGAGGGAAGAAGGUUUUCGGAUUGUAAACCUCUGUCCUUGGGGACGAAGAAAGUGACGGUACCCAAGGAGGAAGCCCCGGCUAACUACGUGCCAGCAGCCGCGGUAAUACGUAGGGGGCAAGCGUUGUCCGGAAUUACUGGGCGUAAAGGGUGCGUAGGCGGUUUUUUAAGUCAGAUGUGAAAUCCCCGGGCUUAACUCGGGUGUUGCAUUUGAAACUGGGGAACUAGAGUGCAGGAGAGGGAAGCGGAAUUCCUAGUGUAGCGGUAAAAUACAUAAAUAUUAAAAAAAACACCAGUGGCGAAGACGGCUUUCUGGACUGUAACUGACGCUGAGGCACGAAAGCGUGGGGAGCAAACAG
rnacentral:rRNA from 1 species